AUCCUGGCUCAGGAUGAACGCUGGCGGCGCACAUAAGACAUGCAAGUCGAACGGACUUAAUCGAUCUUUUAGAUUCGAAGCGGUUAGUGGCGGACUGGUGAGUAACACGUAAGCAACCUGCCUGUUAGAGGGGAACAACAGUUAGAAAUGACUGCUAAUACCGCAUAUGCCAUAUUGAGGACAUCCUCAAAAGUGGGAAAAGGAGAAAUCCGCUAACAGAUGGGCUUGCGUCUGAUUAGCUAGUUGGUGUGGUAACGGCAUACCAAGGCAACGAUCAGUAGCCGGACUGAGAGGUUGAACGGUCACAUUGGGACUGAGAUACGGCCCAGACUCCUACGGGAGGCAGCAGUCGGGAAUAUUGCGCAAUGGAGGAAACUCUGACGCAGUGACGCCGCGUGCAGGAAGAAGGUUUUCGGAUUGUAAACCUCUGUCUUUAGGGACGAAAAUGACGGUACCUAAGGAGGAAGCCACGGCUAACUACGUGCC
rnacentral:rRNA from 1 species